GGGGGCCGCCGGGCCGGGGAGGGACCACGGGAGGGACAAGGGCGUGUCCGGCCCUCUCUCCCAGUCCCAACCAGCCGGACCCCAGCAGCAAGCUAACCUACCGGUCGAAGUGUCUGCC